GGGUGAAACCAUAAGGUUUAGGAAUAGCUCUUCAUUAGGAUUAGGUUUGCCAAGCAACCGAGUGGAUCCAAGGUAGUCUUGGAGAUCUACAAAGGCUCUCUGGCACUCUUUGAUCUACUGGAAGUUUUUUUGGCUACUUUAGAACUUGGAAGAAGGGCAAGCAUCGUUAAGCCAAUCUUGAGAUGAAAUGGUUCAACGUGAUGAUCCUUCUAGUGAGGUACUAUACCUCCUUGAUCAUCUUUAGAGGAGCCAUCUCUUUGAUUAUCUUUGGAGGAGCCAUCUCCUGUAUGGCUUUGAUCUUGUCUGGAUUGGCCUCUAUUCCU
rnacentral:lncRNA from 1 species